GCGGGAAUAGCUCAGUUGGUAGAGCACGACCUUGCCAAGGUCGUUUCCCGCUCCA
rnacentral:tRNA from 1 species